AUGGCUGCUGAGUGAACUGCGGGGAAUUAAAGAGAGCUGCAUAGUCUCUACCCUCAUGUGCAGAUGCUCAAUCAAUCUUGACUGCAACUUCAGCUUUUCCAUCAAGAACGUUUCACUCCAUGAUGCCAAGGAGAUGAAGAGAUAAACAUGUGGGUAUGGCUAGGCAGUUUGAGCCACAGGAUGCAAUUAGCAUCCUAGCCCAGGGUAAAUCCCUGCCUCCCACAGUUGAAGUCAUGGAAGGAUUGAAGAGAGGAGCAAUUACAUUUCCUGUGUCCUCUCAAUGACUUAUGACACCAACUACCUGGAAUUGAACCAAACUUCACAAUUCAAGGAUACACUCUUCUGCAAGUAAACUUUCACCCCAUGCACCAGCUGCUAGUUUGGGUUCUUCAGACCAACAUCAUUCUGGCCAGCUGGCUUCAAAUUUGGAAAUUCCCACUACUAGUUCAAAUUUUAUUUGCUAGACUGACUCACCAAAACUUAAGAAAGUGCUGUACUGAUGGUUAUACUUUAUUAUGACUACAGGAAAUCAGAGCCAUCCAUAUGGAAAACUUCACAGAGUAAGAUCUAAGAGAGGCCCAAAUAUGGAAACUCCCAUUGUCUGUGAACUUGUGGACUCUGUGAACUUGUAGACACUAUUAUCCAAAUAUGUUGUAGUACUCAAAAUAUCAGCAAUCACUGAAAGCUCUACUUAUUCUCUGUGUCAUCAUUUUGUUGGGGUUCUAUUACAUAGGUACAGUUGGCUGAUUCAAUGGACUUGUCCUUCAUUCUCCAGCCUCCUUCUCUCUAUGUGCUUAGGCUGAUUUCACCAAUCAUAAAGCCCUCACACUUUAUGGAUGAUUAUGGAUGCAGCAAUUCAUAGACACACUUGGAGCUUUGUGAAGCUGCUCUUAUGAAGGUGACCAGCAUGGCUAUUAUAUACUACAACUUCCUCAAGGCAUCUUUCUCCUGGUGAAAGAUCCACACAACCCUCCUUCUCCAACUUGUGAUCAAAGCACUCCACUUGACAACAUUCACAAAGUGAGCAUGCCUGCGCAUUCUCCAGGGACACCUUCUUGCCUGGAAUGCCAGUGAGAUCUUGUCAUCCUCUAGUGGCUGAACUCCAAAGCUACAUUCCUAGCUUUCGCCAACAUGCUCUGUCCCACAGUGUUCCAUAUUCAUUUCUAACAUUCGACACUUUCACUUGUGAUCAUAGGAAGACAAUGGUAAGCUAUUGCGUAUAGACCCAAAUACAUCUAGAUGCAUGUGUGCUGUAGUGAAUAAUAUCAUGCUUGCUCCUUGGUCGGUACUGCACUCCUAAUUACUUACCUGAACAUUUUGCAUACUCAUGUCACUUUCAUUUUACUUUAUGGUCUUGCUAGGCUGAGGCCACUAUGACAGCAAAAUUACCCCAUAAAGUGUAGGUAAAUCACAUAACACAAUAAAAUUAUACA